GCUACAGGCUUGACACAUGCAAGUCGGGGGGCAGCAUUUCAGUUUGCUUGCAAACUGGAGAUGGCGACCGGCGCACGGGUGAGUAACACGUAUCCAACCUGCCGAUAACUCGGGGAUAGCCUUUCGAAAGAAAGAUUAAUACCCGAUGGUAUAAUCAGACCGCAUGGUCUUGUUAUUAAAGAAUUUCGGUUAUCGAUGGGGAUGCGUUCCAUUAGGCAGUUGGUGAGGUAACGGCUCACCAAACCUUCGAUGGAUAGGGGUUCUGAGAGGAAGGUCCCCCACAUUGGAACUGAGACACGGUCCAAACUCCUACGGGAGGCAGCAGUGAGGAAUAUUGGUCAAUGGGCGCAGGCCUGAACCAGCCAAGUAGCGUGAAGGAUGACUGCCCUAUGGGUUGUAAACUUCUUUUAUAUGGGAAUAAAGUUUUCCACGUGUGGAAUUUUGUAUGUACCAUAUGAAUAAGGAUCGGCUAACUCCGUGCCAGCAGCCGCGGUAAUACGGAGGAUCCGAGCGUUAUCCGGAUUUAUUGGGUUUAAAGGGAGCGUAGGUGGACAGUUAAGUCAGUUGUGAAAGUUUGCGGCUCAACCGUAAAAUUGCAGUUGAUACUGGCUGUCUUGAGUACAGUAGAGGUGGGCGGAAUUCGUGGUGUAGCGGUGAAAUGCUUAGAUAUCACGAAGAACUCCGAUUGCGAAGGCAGCUCACUGGACUGCAACUGACACUGAUGCUCGAAAGUGUGGGUAUCAAACAGGAUUAGAUACCCUGGUAGUCCACACAGUAAACGAUGAAUACUCGCUGUUUGCGAUAUACAGUAAGCGGCCAAGCGAAAGCAUUAAGUAUUCCACCUGGGGAGUACGCCGGCAACGGUGAAACUCAAAGGAAUUGACGGGGGCCCGCACAAGCGGAGGAACAUGUGGUUUAAUUCGAUGAUACGCGAGGAACCUUACCCGGGCUUAAAUUGCAUUUGAAUAUAUUGGAAACAGUAUAGCCGUAAGGCAAAUGUGAAGGUGCUGCAUGGUUGUCGUCAGCUCGUGCCGUGAGGUGUCGGCUUAAGUGCCAUAACGAGCGCAACCCUUAUCUUUAGUUACUAACAGGUCAUGCUGAGGACUCUAGAGAGACUGCCGUCGUAAGAUGUGAGGAAGGUGGGGAUGACGUCAAAUCAGCACGGCCCUUACGUCCGGGGCUACACACGUGUUACAAUGGGGGGUACAGAAGGCAGCUACCUGGUGACAGGAUGCUAAUCCCAAAAGCCUCUCUCAGUUCGGAUCGAAGUCUGCAACCCGACUUCGUGAAGCUGGAUUCGCUAGUAAUCGCGCAUCAGCCAUGGCGCGGUGAAUACGUUCCCGGGCCUUGUACACACCGCCCGUCAAGCCAUGAAAGCCGGGGGUACCUGAAGUACGUAACCGCAAGGAGCGUCCUAGGGUAAAACUGGUAAUUGGGGCUAAG
rnacentral:rRNA from 1 species